rnacentral:misc_RNA from 1 species
AAGUCGUAACAAGGUUUCCGUAGGUGAACCUGCGGAAGGAUCAUUAAUGAAAUGAUAAUUUUUUGGGGUUUUCCCUGAAAAAUAAUUCACCUUUUGUGCAUUGUUAUUAGAUAUACUUUGGUUAGAGCUUUGGUUUCAUAUUUUUGAAAUCAACUUCUCGCUGACUCUAUCCUAAUAUAUGGGACAGUUGGCUAUGAAGCGGCCUACCAAGGUUUUUUAUCAAACUCGUUUAAUUUAUCUGACCUAAACUAUUAUAAUAAAAUCAUAACUUUCAACAACGGAUCUCUUGGCUCUC